UGACUUUGUAAAUAGAAUUUCUUGAAUAAAAUAAUGCUAUAUUUACACUAGGCGCUUAAAAAUGAUAUUUGAAUCGAAAAAUAAAAACUUUUGUUAUUCUUGUGCCAUCAUGCUGAUUAUAAAAUCAAGCCAUAAUUUAUAAAUGUUGAUAUAUGAUAAGUAUGAUAAAAUAUGAACAUAAUUAGGGUAAUAUUUUGUUACAAAAUUGGAUCCUUUGCUAUGAGAAGUGAGAGAAUAUUUCAGUUUAAGAGCGAGGAUCGAGAACUAGAAGUGAUUAUACUCGAGGUAGUAGACCCACAAUAUGGUUUGUUUACUUGGCCAAGUGCUGUAAUUCUAGCUCAAUAUGUUUGGUAUAACAGAAAUGUUUUGAAAAACAAGCAAAUUAUUGAGCUUGGAUCAGGAACUGCAUUACCUGGUGUGGUAGCAGCCCUCUGUGGUGCCAAUGUUACCUUGACAGAUGGAGAACAAUUUCCUGACUGUUUGAAAAACUGCCAAGAAACUUGCAAAGCAAAUGGACUAAAAAAUGUUAAAACGACAGCUCUGACUUGGGGCAAUUUUUCUAAGAACUUUCUAGAGUUGCCCACGUUUGAUAUUAUUCUUGGCUCAGACUGUUUCUAUGAUCCCAAAGAUUUUGACGAUAUUUUGGCAACUGUUGCAUACCUGCUUGAGCGCAAUCCUAAGGGCGAAUUUUGGACCUCUUACCAAGAAAGGAGUGCUGACUGGUCAAUCGAAAUUUUGCUAAAAAAAUGGAACCUUGGAUGCCAGUUGGUCUCUUUGCAAACCUUUGGAGGGGACGAUGAAAAUAUCGCAGGAAGUAAUUUAGUCAGUAACCAUUCAAUUCAACUGUUGGUAAUCACCCAUCCUGUUAACUGAGCGACAGUAUAAAUAUGAUAAAUAGGAUAGGACUUUCGUUUCAUUACAACCGUGGUGAACGCAAUCCAAACAUGUCACAAAUAUUAUUGAUGAUAAUUAAGACUCUUUAGGACAAAAACGAAAGAGAAAAUUGAUUCGCUGACACGUAUCGGUUACUUAAGAGUUCAAUAUCAUCGCCAUUGUCAGUUAGUAUCGUUAAUGCUCAAUAUCAACACACACGGAACGAUUAUACACAAAGUCCACGCGUUGUUUUUUGGUUGUGCCUACUCGUCGCUCAAGAAUCAGCGUUUUUUUACGGAGUGAAAGGUCUAAAUUUGAUACAAAAGUAUAAUAUAGAAAGAUCAAGCAUUGAUAACAAGCGAAGGGGACGUAACAACCACGAACGAAUUUUCAACAUAAUUCUCAUUUUACUGUCUAUAAACUCCU
rnacentral:misc_RNA from 1 species